rnacentral:rRNA from 1 species
CAUGCAAGUCGAGCGAAUCUGAGGGAGCUUGCUCCCAAAGAUUAGCGGCGGACGGGUGAGUAACACGUGGGCAACCUGCCUGUAAGACUGGGAUAACUUCGGGAAACCGGAGCUAAUACCGGAUAAUCCCUUUCCUCACAUGAGGAAAGGCUGAAAGACGGUUUCGGCUGUCACUUACAGAUGGGCCCGCGGCGCAUUAGCUAGUUGGUGAGGUAACGGCUCACCAAGGCCACGAUGCGUAGCCGACCUGAGAGGGUGAUCGGCCACACUGGGACUGAGACACGGCCCAGACUCCUACGGGAGGCAGCAGUAGGGAAUCUUCCGCAAUGGACGAAAGUCUGACGGAGCAACGCCGCGUGAGUGAUGAAGGUUUUCGGAUCGUAAAACUCUGUUGUUAGGGAAGAACAAGUAUCGGAGUAACUGCCGGUACCUUGACGGUACCUAACCAGAAAGCCACGGCUAACUACGUGCCAGCAGCCGCGGUAAUACGUAGGUGGCAAGCGUUGUCCGGAAUUAUUGGGCGUAAAGCGCGCGCAGGUGGUUCCUUAAGUCUGAUGUGAAAGCCCACGGCUCAACCGUGGAGGGUCAUUGGAAACUGGGGAACUUGAGUGCAGAAGAGGAAAGUGGAAUUCCAAGUGUAGCGGUGAAAUGCGUAGAGAUUUGGAGGAACACCAGUGGCGAAGGCGACUUUCUGGUCUGUAACUGACACUGAGGCGCGAAAGCGUGGGGAGCGAACAGGAUUAGAUACCCUGGUAGUCCACGCCGUAAACGAUGAGUGCUAAGUGUUAGAGGGUUUCCGCCCUUUAGUGCUGCAGCAAACGCAUUAAGC